rnacentral:lncRNA from 1 species
CUACCCUUCCUGAGCUCUAAGCACACUCAGACAAUGAAUAGAAAAGGAAUCUAACAACCUUCAGCCACUUUCAGUAUAAACUAUCCAGCAAAGGAAAGGAGACUUCCAGACUUCUUGUGUGUGGAACAUGUCCUGGCACCAGAAAAUGCAGAGUCUACAAGGAGGAGACACAGCACCAGAUUCCUCCAGGGGCCACACCAGGCACCUCCAACCAGAAAAGGGUUUUUAUUGAGUGGAGAUACACAA